rnacentral:rRNA from 1 species
CGUGGGCGCUGGAGAACUGAGGGGGGCUGCUCCUAGUACGAGAGGACCGGAGUGGACGCAUCACUGGUGUUCGGGUUGUCAUGCCAAUGGCACUGCCCGGUAGCUAAAUGCGGAAGAGAUAAGUGCUGAAAGCAUCUAAGCACGAAACUUGCCCCGAGAUGAGUUCUCCCUGACUCCUUGAGAGUCCUGAAGGAACGUUGAAGACGACGACGUUGAUAGGCCGGGUGUGUAAGCGCAGCGAUGCGUUGAGCUAACCGGUACUAAUGAACCGUGAGGCUUAACCUU